rnacentral:rRNA from 1 species
GACCUACGGGAUGCAGCAGUGGGGGAUAUUGCACAAUGGGGGGAACCCUGAUGCAGCGACGCCGCGUGGGUGAAGAAGCGCCUCGGCGCGUAAAGCCCUGUCAGCAGGGAAGAAAAUGACGGUACCUGAAGAAGAAGCCCCGGCUAACUACGUGCCAGCAGCCGCGGUAAUACGUAGGGGGCGAGCGUUAUCCGGAUUUACUGGGUGUAAAGGGAGCGUAGGCGGUGCAGCAAGUCAGAAGUGAAAGCCCGGGGCUCAACUCCGGGACUGCUUUUGAAGCUGUUGACCUAGAUUGCAGGAGAGGG